rnacentral:rRNA from 1 species
AGCGAACGUUUGCGGCGGGCUUAACACAUGCAAGUCGAACGGGCUGUUCCUUCGGGGGCAGUCAGUGGCGCACGGGUGCGUAACACGUAGGUAAUCAACCCUCUGGUUGGGGAUAACACUUCGAAAGGAGUGCUAAUACCCGGUAUGGCGCAGCGGUCUUCGGAUCGCGGCGAGAAAGACCCGCAAGGGUUGCCAGAGGACGAGCCUGCGGCCCAUCAGCUAGUUGGCGAGGUAACGGCUCACCAAGGCGAAGACGGGUAGCUGGUCUGAGAGGAUGAUCAGCCACACUGGAACUGAGACACGGUCCAGACUCCUACGGGAGCCAGCAGUGGGGAAUAUUGCGCAAUGGGCGAAAGCCUGACGCAGCCACGCCGCGUGAGCGAUGAAGGCC